rnacentral:rRNA from 1 species
UGGGGAAUUUUGGACAAUGGGCGAAAGCCUGAUCCAGCAAUGCCGCGUGUGUGAAGAAGGCCUUCGGGUUGUAAAGCACUUUUGUCCGGAAAGAAAUCCUUGGCUCUAAUACAGUCGGGGGAUGACGGUACCGGAAGAAUAAGCACCGGCUAACUACGUGCCAGCAGCCGCGGUAAUACGUAGGGUGCAAGCGUUAAUCGGAAUUACUGGGCGUAAAGCGUGCGCAGGCGGUUUGCUAAGACCGAUGUGAAAUCCCCGGGCUCAACCUGGGAACUGCAUUGGUGACUGGCAGGCUAGAGUAUGGCAGAGGGGGGUAGAAUUCCACGUGUAGCAGUGAAAUGCGUAGAGAUGUGGAGGAAUACCGAUGGCGAAGGCAGCCCCCUGGGCCAAUACUGACGCUCAUGCACGAAAGCGUGGGGAGCAAACAGGAUUAGAUACCCUGGUAGUCCACGCCCUAAACGAUGUCAACUAGUUGUUGGGGAUUCAUUUCCUAGUAACGUAGCUAACGCGUGAAGUUGACCGCCUGGGGAGUACGGUCGCAAGAUUAAACUC